GUGCUUGUUUCAGCAGCACAUAGACUAAAAUUGGAAUGAUACAGAGAAGAUUAGCAUGGCCCCAGCGCAAGGAUGACAAAUUCAUGAAGCAUUCUAUAAUUUU
ensembl:snRNA U6 U6 spliceosomal RNA